GACGAACGCUGGCGGCGUGCCUAAUACAUGCAAGUAGAACGCUGAAGGAGGAGCUUGCUUCUCCGGAUGAGUUGCGAACGGGUGAGUAACGCGUAGGUAACCUGCCUGGUAGCGGGGGAUAACUAUUGGAAACGAUAGCUAAUACCGCAUAACAGUAGAUGUUGCAUGACAUUUGCUUAAAAGGUGCAAUUGCAUCACUACCAGAUGGACCUGCGUUGUAUUAGCUAGUUGGUGAGGUAACGGCUCACCAAGGCGACGAUACAUAGCCGACCUGAGAGGGUGGUCGGCCACACUGGGACUGAGACACGGCCCAGACUCCUACGGGAGGCAGCAGUAGGGAAUCUUCGGCAAUGGACGGAAGUCUGACCGAGCAACGCCGCGUGAGUGAAGAAGGUUUUCGGAUCGUAAAGCUCUGUUGUAAGAGAAGAACGAGUGUGAGAGUGGAAAGUUCACACUGUGACGGUAUCUUACCAGAAAGGGACGGCUAACUACGUG
rnacentral:rRNA from 1 species